rnacentral:rRNA from 1 species
GAUGAACGCUGGCGGCGUGCCUAAUACAUGCAAGUCGAGCGAACAGACGAGGAGCUUGCUCCUCUGACGUUAGCGGCGGACGGGUGAGUAACACGUGGAUAACCUACCUAUAAGACUGGGAUAACUUCGGGAAACCGGAGCUAAUACCGGAUAAUAUAUUGAACCGCAUGGUUCAAUAGUGAAAGACGGUUUUGCUGUCACUUAUAGAUGGAUCCGCGCCGCAUUAGCUAGUUGGUAAGGUAACGGCUUACCAAGGCAACGAUGCGUAGCCGACCUGAGAGGGUGAUCGGCCACACUGGAGCUGAGACACGGUCCAGACGCCUACGGGAGGCAGCAGUAGGGAAUCUGCCGCAGUGGGCGAAAGCCUGACGGAGCAACGCCGCGUGAGUGAUGAAGGUCUUCGGAUCGUAAAACUCUGUUAUUAGGGAAGAACAAAUGUGUAAGUAACCAUGCACGGCUUGACGGUACCUAAUAAGAAAGCCACGGCUAACUACGUG